rnacentral:rRNA from 1 species
GAUGAACGCUGGCGGCGUGCUUAACACAUGCAAGUCGAACGAUGAAGCCCAGCUUGCUGGGUGGAUUAGUGGCGAACGGGUGAGUAACACGCGAGUAACCUGCCCUUGACUCUGGGAUAAGCCCGGGAAACUGGGUCUAAUACCGGAUAGGAGCGCCUGUCGCAUGACGGGUGUUGGAAAGAUUUUUCGGUCAUGGAUGGACUCGCGGCCUAUCAGCUUGUUGGUGAGGUAAUGGCUCACCAAGGCGACGACGGGUAGCCGGCCUGAGAGGGUGACCGGCCACACUGGGACUGAGAGACGGCCCAGACUCCUACGGGAGGCAGCAGUGGGGAAUAUUGCACAAUGGGCGGAAGCCUGAUGCAGCGACGCCGCGUGAGGGAUGACGGCCUUCGGGUUGUAAACCUCUUUCAGUAGGGAAGAAGCGAAAGUGACGGUACCUGCAGAAGAAGCACCGGCUAACUACGUG